UGCUGGAAGAAGGAAACAGAAACUCACAGACACCCUCAGCGGAAGGUAGCAUGUUGAAGUUGAAAGAAUCAGGCUGCAAAGGAAAAGAGUUAAAUGAACAUCAAGGAAACAGGGGAACAAAACUAACAUGGAUACAGCUAAACGUGAACAGAAAUACCAGAGCAUUUACUUAAUGACACCUUUCCGUAUUAAGAUUUUGAAACAUUUGAUGAAUUGCAAAAGGANNNNNNNNNNNNNNNNNNNNNNNNNNNNNNNNNNNNNNNNNNNNNNNNNNNNNNNNNNNNNNNNNNNNNNNNNNNNNNNNNNNNNNNNNNNNNNNNNNNNCCAUCGAAGAGCUACAUAGUCCUGUGGUCAAAAUGCAAUAGGAGAAAAAUUGGUUUCAUGCCAAAUUGAAGAAGUAGUUUUUUAAAGGAAGGCACUGGAUUACUACUCACAGUGCAGAAUAAUGAAAUUAAUGUAUCAAUGAAUGCGAAUCCUGGGAGUUGAAAAUAGAAAGUCUUGAGUUUGCAAUCAGCAUUUCCCAAUAUGUUUUUGGGUUUCAGAUCCCGAUGAUAGACAUUAGCUGAGAGUAAAACAAAAUUGACAGUUAAGAAAAAAAGAGUAUCUUCAGAAAGAUCAUCUAAAACUUAUAGAACUAUGCUAGCUUAACCUGUGUGUAAAGAUUUGAGGCCACUGAGAAGCUGAUAGAGAAAAGACUUGUAACGUUCAAGAACCAAAUCAUCAUUUGCCUUGAUAACCUCAUGCAGAUAAGCUUCCCUCAGCUUCUCCGCAUCAAUUAUGAUCACCCGCCUCUCAAACUCGAAUUGCAACUUUGUGACAGCUUGAUCAGAGGGCUCUCUUUGAACCUUCAAUAAACCCUUGAAGUACACAUCUGCUAGCGCCUGAAGUAACACAUGAAACCAUAAUUUUAAUUAUAAUAAUAACAAACUUAAAGUGGAAUGCUACAUCCUGUCUGACAAAUACUAUGGCAAAAUCAUUUGUUCACUUUACUGUAAUCUUGAUAGAUAUAAGGCGCCAUCAAAACGCGCCAAAUACAAAUAUUAAUAGUCAAAAGCAGGGGAACAAAAAAAGGUUUUACCUGCAAAACCGGGUUAGGAGUAAGUUCAGGCUUUAGUAAUUCCUCUUUCUCAAAAGGUGCGAUGUCAAGCAUCUUAACCAAAUUAUAUGCCAAUGCUUGCUGUUGCUCAUCUGGCUUCCACGAGGCAGGAAAUAUGCUGGAAGAAGGAAACAGAAACUCACAGACACCCUCAGCAGAAGGUAGCAUGUUGAAGUUGAAAGAAUCAGGCUGCAAAGGAAAAGAGUUAAAUGAACAUCAAGGUAGUCAGAAGAUUCAAGAUGAAGGUGUUUCCAUGAGUUAACUUCCGGUGUCAUCUAAAUUAGACACAAUGGGAGUGAGGACCUCAACAACUACAUUCCCUAGUCCAUCUCUCCAGACACAACGUACCAUUGCCACCUUGUUUGCUUGCUUCAUUUCUCUUACAAUGGCAGAGACGGCAAUAACAGAGUUUUGUUUUCCCGGAUCAGGAACAACUAUGUUCAGGUCAUCUUUCAUGUGGCGGUGUCUUAGUUGACAUGCAGAGAAAAACACAACACAACACAACAAUCUGUCAACUGAGACAACCAAGAGUUUACAGACAACCAUAAAUAUAGGUGAUUGUUUAUGCUUACCGCAAUAUGUUUGAACCCUGAGUAAAUCCCAGAAGCUUCAUUCUUUCUUCAGUUUUGAACUUGAGGGUUUCCAUCUCAUGUGGUGAUAUAGGAAUAACAUAAGGUCCAUAGCAAAAGCCCUUUAUCCUUUCUUCUGGAGUAAGAACCUCACUAGACUUGGCGAACUUGUCUGUUGGUGACGCCUUGUGGAUAUGCAUUUUUAAAAUGGGAAGUCUCUCAUCAGCCACUGUCUUAUAAAAAGACACCUGCAAAAUUCAAAUUCAAAAAUACCGUCCUCAGGAACUAUCUCGAAUAGUUAUAUAAUCGUCGGAUGGACCAAAGAACACCAAAUAUGAAAUAACACAAUGAUCUCCAGAAACAUUGCACCACAAUCAAUAGAUACCUUAAUUGUUGGGUUAAUCUCAAGAUCACCCCUGGACAAAGUAACUGGAGCAAAUCUCCGGAUCUUGAAGGAAUCUAGAAGUGAGAGUUGAUUCUCAACACACACUGUUUGCGAAACCGAGUUGCUGGAGGAUAAGUUCAACAACUGAUCGUCCUCCGCCAUUAUCUUCUCACUAACAUCAACAUCAGUUGCAACAGGCUUCUUCUCCGCAUCCAUAGCCAGUGGGAGCUCUCCAAAUUCCCAUCCAGGAUCCAAGACAUCCUCAGUCGUAGCACUACGAGUCCAAGGGAGAUCUGUAUUUCCUGUCCAGAAUCAGAAAUUCAUAAUCAGAAAUCAACCUAAAAGUUGACAAAAAAAUAAAUAUAAAAGAAAUUCAACCUAAAUAAUCGGACAAGUUUAAGUAGAAAAUUUCCUUACUGUAAUCACCUGAAACUAAUUACCAUAAUCAGGAAACUCAAAACCAAUGGUACUUUGCCUUUUAACCUUAAUAGCCCUUUAAUUACUCUAUAGUCCAUCUCACUAAUCUGCGAAAAUAUCCUACAGCACAAAAUAUUAAAGACUUGCCGUAUCUAGAGAUGGCCAGAGCUUCCAUUUCCUUCAUGACAAGGUGAGGGUUCUGACAUUCCUGAAUAAACGUCACAGGAAAGUCAUAACACAAAACAAUUUAUAGUACCAACGUACUAUUAACAGGGGAACAAAACUAACAUGGAUACAGCUAAACGUGAACUGAAAUACCAUAGCAUUUAAAUAACGACACCUUUUCUGUAUUAAGAUUUUGAAACAUUUGAUGAAUUGCAAAAGGAUGUUCACCUUUGAUAACAAUGAUCUACACUUUUCUAGCUUCCACGAGGCAGGAAAUAUGCUGGAAGAAGGAAACAGAAACUCACAGACACCCUCAGCAGAAGGUAGCAUGUUGAAGUUGAAAGAAUCAGGCUGCAAAGGAAAAGAGUUAAAUGAACAUCAAGGAAACAGGGGAACAAAACUAACAUGGAUACAGCUAAACGUGAACAGAAAUACCAGAGCAUUUACUUAAUGACACCUUUCCGUAUUAAGAUUUUGAAACAUUUGAUGAAUUGCAAAAGGAUCGUCA
rnacentral:lncRNA from 1 species